CAAGCACAAGUUUUUCAGAGAUUUUACUCAUGGAAGAAGCUAGCCCACAUGGAUACCCCCAGUCGACAGUCCCAUCCCAAUCCGGAUCAACAUCGCGCGCGGCUGAGCAUCCUCGUCCAGAAUUGUUGCGCCCACACGCAGCUUCCGCGAAGCUUCGCCUCUCCACGUCAACAGAUGCAGACGGAAGACGUUUCUGUACGGAUAACUGCAGUAUCUUUUCACUGACGAACAGUCAAACACAACAUGUGUUUUUCCAAAGAUUUUUUUUUUUUUCCAUUUUUUUUUUUUUUGUGUGUGUGUGGUGUACGUUGAAAGCUCAAGUACUUCGUCGUUGGUCCUUUUGUUGCCGACUCCAUCGAAACGAUCUUUUGCUUGUACAAAAUGUGUGUUCUUCCGUGCAGGGAAAUGAUAUUGCCAACUUUUGGUAACCGUUUAGCAACGCCUAGUAACGGUUUU